CUUCCUGCUUCUCUUCAGCCAAUCAGACGCAAGCAACAUAAGAACGUUUCAACAAUUAUCAAACAGAAUAUAGUUUAGGUAACUAUAAAAUAAAGUAAUAUAAUGCUCAAAUAUAAAAUGAGAAUAAUCAAUAAUAUAACAUAAGCUUACACACGUUCUACAAAAGAUCCCGUGUGCGUUGCCGGUGUAGCAUAUGGCCGUAUACCAUACUGCUCGCUUCACGGUGUUACGGCAGUGUCGCAAAGCAGUGGUUGAGUGACUGCACACAACUGUUACGGCAGUUGAAUAAAGAGCGUUGACAAAGCAAAUCGUCUCCUCACGUUUUUAGACAAAACACCCGGAAACGCACCAGAAAAUAAACUAAUAAAUAAGUCUUCCUCCACGAGAGGCAGACACAGCUCUUCACGCUUUCGACUCGGCUUCAUUCUCACGGAGCGCCCCUCCGGGAGCGGGGGGAGGUUACAUCUUGUGCUCUUCACACCUCUCUAAACUUGACAACAUGAGGAAGCAUGAAAUAUUGAACAGAUGCACAGCCGUGUUCGGGCGGUCAGCUAAGCGGAUGAACGCGAAGAAGGGGACAAGUGUGAAUGAAAGCAAAAAGUAACAAAACGCAGGCGGGCUGCUGUUAUGAAGGUGGAUUUGGCGAGGUGACACAAACCUGUCAAAUUUCUUUCGAGUCAGAUGCGUCAAUUGGAAGCAGAGCAACGAGGGAGUGCGGUGGCGUCUCUGGCAUGAAAAGUUGAGCGGGUCACCACAGUGGGCGCUUUACAUUUUUAAAAUCAAGACCGCAAUCUAUUUUAUGCAUAGCCAAAUUAAAGGUAUGAAUAAAACCUUUAAUUCAAUUUCUGUCAUGCCGUUGUGUUUCUCGUAAAAUGUCUUGAUCCUCUUCAGUGAUGAAAAGUUGCUCUCAGACCGAGCUGUGGUCAUGGGUGUUGCAAUCAUAAUUUGGAGUGGUGACACAGUUAGGUUAGUUGUCAUAAAUCAGCCGCAGCAGAGACAGAGCGUUUGCCAACAUGCAACUCUUGAGUGACUGGACAGGCAUUUGAGCACAAUUUUGAGCUUAAUUUUAUUUCCAAUUGGCCAGAUUUGAUUUGCUGCUUCUAAUUCAGCACAUGGAUUUACUGAAUUUACUGGAAAGUGUGCUGUCUGCAAACUGUGCUGCAAAAUCUCUCUUCCAAUUGAGUCACUACGGCAUCAUCAGCUUCUUUCAUAACCGCUGGAUACAUGCUAAAGAAACAGCUGGCUCAGAAAGAACCGAAUUUGGAUCAUAAAUGGACUGAUCCACAAUUUGGGCGAAUUGGAAUCAACUUUCUGCAUUAUUUUUGUUGUUUUUUUUUAAAAUCCUAACUGUUUUUCUGAAUCAAAGCAAUUUUUGUUACACAACGAGCAGGAACAAUAUUUGGCAAGUGGAUGUUCAAUAUGGACCCCAAAUUGAGUGUGUUCAAAGACAUAAUGAGGUUGAUUGAUGAUACACCCGCUAAAAUUGAAUGUGUAUGGAUGCA